AACGAACGCUGGCGGCAGGCCUAACACAUGCAAGUCGAACGCUCGUAGCAAUACGGGAGUGGCGCACGGGUGAGUAACGCGUGGGCACCUGCCCGGUGGUUUGGGAUAACCGUGGGAAACUGCGGCUAAUACCGGAUACGCCCCUAGGGGGAAAGAUUUAUCGCCAUCGGAUGGGCCCGCGUAGGAUUAGCUAGUUGGUGAGGUAACGGCUCACCAAGGCGACGAUCCUUAGCUGGUCUGAGAGGAUGAUCAGCCACACUGGGACUGAGACACGGCCCAGACUCCUACGGGAGGCAGCAGUGGGGAAUAUUGGACAAUGGGGGCAACCCUGAUCCAGCCAUGCCGCGUGAGUGAAGAAGGCCUUCGGGUUGUAAAGCUCUUUUGGCGGGGACGAUGAUGACGGUACCCGCAGAAUAAGCCCCGGCUAACUUCGUG
rnacentral:rRNA from 1 species